AAUAAAUUGGCGCCUCACCUUCUCACGCUUCACCCAGCACUUACCACACUGCAGAGGAAGAUGAAGGUCGCAGUCCUCAGCGUGGCCCUGCUCUUCACCAUCCUGCUGUGCACCCCAGAGGAUGCUCAGGCACUCCUAGAAGGAAGUGGACUUAGUGACGUGGAUGAGGCACUAGUCAGAGGUCUGCUAUCAAAGAGGGCUGCGCCCCCUCUGCCUGACGUAGAUGCGGACCUUUUGCGCAAGAGAAGUGUGGCCGCAUCCCUUCAUGUCUAGACCUGGAACUGAUGGUGACACCCAUGUCCUGUCCCCCUCCAGCAGCACGAGGAGAUGAUCAUCGCUGCAUGACCCCACCUGAUCCCCUGGGAGCCCUGGCCCAUUUCCCUCUAAUCAUCAAUAAACCUCAUCA